GACGAACGCUGGCGGCGUGCCUAAUACAUGCAAGUAGAACGCUGAAGGAGGAGCUUGCUUCUCCGGAUGAGUUGCGAACGGGUGAGUAACGCGUAGGUAACCUGCCUGGUAGCGGGGGAUAACUAUUGGAAACGAUAGCUAAUACCGCAUAACAGUAGAUGUUGCAUGACAUUUGCUUAAAAGGUGCAAUUGCAUCACUACCAGGUGGACCUGCGUUGUAUUAGCUAGUUGGUGAGGUAACGGCUCACCAAGGCGACGAUACAUAGCCGACCUGAGAGGGUGAUCGGCCACACUGGGACUGAGACACGGCCCAGACUCCUACGGGAGGCAGCAGUAGGGAAUCUUCGGCAAUGGACGGAAGUCUGACCGAGCAACGCCGCGUGAGUGAAGAAGGUUUUCGGAUCGUAAAGCUCUGUUGUAAGAGAAGAACGAGUGUGAGAGUGGAAAGUUCACACUGUGACGGUAUCUUACCAGAAAGGGACGGCUAACUACGUG
rnacentral:rRNA from 1 species